ensembl:ncRNA F56H11.9 ncRNA
UUGUGAUGAUGAACAACUGCUAACUGACAAAUGAGUGGAAAUAAACGAAAACGAAUGAGAAAGGGGGACGGGUCGGAUAACAGAAAAACAUGCGGCUAGGUGAUCAAGGUGGAGCUCUCUGAUUUAUUGGUC